rnacentral:rRNA from 1 species
GACGUAGGGCGCGAGCGUUGUCCGGAUUUAUUGGGCGUAAAGAGCUCGUAGGCGGCUUGUCGCGUCGACCGUGAAAACCUUGGGCUUAACUCAGGGCUUGCUUUCGAUACGGGCAGACUUGAGGCAUGCAGGGGAGAACGGAAUUCCUGGUGUAGCGGUGAAAUGCGCAGAUAUCAGGAGGAACACCGGUGGCGAAGGCGGUUCUCUGGGCAUGUUCUGACGCUGAGGAGCGAAAGUGUGGGGAGCGAACAGG